GAUGAACGCUGGCGGCGUGCCUAAUACAUGCAAGUCGAGCGAAUGGAUUAAGAGCUUGCUCUUAUGAAGUUAGCGGCGGACGGGUGAGUAACACGUGGGUAACCUGCCCAUAAGACUGGGAUAACUCCGGGAAACCGGGGCUAAUACCGGAUAACAUUUUGAACCGCAUGGUUCGAAAUCGAAAGGCGGCUUCGGCUGUCACUUAUGGAUGGACCCGCGUCGCAUUAGCUAGUUGGUGAGGUAACGGCACACCAAGGCAACGACGCGUAGCCGACCUGAGAGGGUGAUCGGCCACACUGGGACUGAGACACGGCCCAGACUCUUACGGGAGGCAGCAGUAGGGAAUCUUCCGCAAUGGACGAAAGUCUGACGGAGCAACGCCGCGUGAGUGAUGAAGGCUUUCGGGUCGUAAAACUCUGUUGUUAGGGAAGAACAAGUGCUAGUUGAAUAAGCUGGCACCUUGACGGUACCUAACCAGAAAGCCACGGCUAACUACGUGCCAGCCGCCGCCGUAA
rnacentral:rRNA from 1 species